rnacentral:rRNA from 1 species
UACGUAGGGCGCAAGCGUUAUCCGGAAUUAUUGGGCGUAAAGAGCUCGUAGGCGGUUUGUCGCGUCUGCCGUGAAAGUCCGGGGCUCAACCUGGGAAUUGCAUUUGAGACUGCGUAGCUAGGGUGCGGAAGAGGGAAGCGGAAUUUCCGGUGUAGCGGUGAAAUGCGUAGAUAUCGGAAGGAACACCAGUGGCGAAAGCGGCUUCCUGGUCCAGCACCGACGUUCAGGCACGAAAGCGUGGGGAGCAAACAGG